AUUGAACGCUGGCGGCAGGCCUAACACAUGCAAGUCGAGCGAGCGGCGGACGGGUGAGUAAUGUAUGGGGACUGCCCGAUAGAGGGGGAUAACUACUGGAAAAGGUAGCUAAUACCGCAUACUAUCGGAUAACCCAUAUGGGAUUAGCUAGUAGGUGAGGUAAUGGCUUACCUAGGCGACGAUCCCUAGCUGGUCUGAGAGGCUGAUCAGCCACACUGGGACUGAGACACGGCCCAGACUCCUACGGAGGCAGCAGUGGGGAAUAUUGCACAAUGGGCGAAAGCCUGAUGCAGCAAUGCCGCGUGUAUGAAGAAGGCCCUAGGGUUGUAAAGUACUUUCGGUCGGGAGGCGUUACCGACAGAGAAAGCACCGGCUAACUACGUGCCAGCAGCCGCGGUAAUAC
rnacentral:rRNA from 1 species